rnacentral:tRNA from 1 species
GGCUUAGUGGUCUAGUCGUAUGAUUCUCGCUUUGGGUGCGAGAGGUCCCGGGUUCAAUUCCCGGCUGAGCCC